ACGACCUUACUUGAACAGGAUCUGUUCUAUAGGUUGUACCUCUGUAUCCUUGAGUUCUAAGGAGACAGGAACUACAGUCUGGUGGAUGAACAAGGACCGUAUGAUUUGAGCGUGAUUGACAGUUUGAUGAUCUUUGGGUCUUCAAACGGUAGAGGAUCGUUCCAGGUCAGGUCCUCCCUGGCUUGGGGGUGAUCAUUCGGUUGUCUGACAGACU
rnacentral:snoRNA from 1 species